GUGUUAUAUGAAAGGACAGAAGGUUAGCACUCUCCUUGACAAGGAAGGAAUGGCCUCUGGACCUAAACACAUAUAUGGUUAAGGUACUGAUGCCUACUCUGAGACAAUUUAAGCAAAUUUAUUU